GAGGUAAGGGUUGAUCUCUAUGUUUUAUAGUGUUUUAAGCAAGUUUUAUGAAGGGAAAAGGGGUAGAUAUGCAUGUGUUGCAUGGUUGUGCAUGGGAGGGUUUUAUGGACCCUUUAUGCACUAUGUGUGUAUAUGUGGUUAUGCGUUAGAGUUUAGGGUGUUUUAAGCUCUUUUAGGUAUGUUUAGCGGUUUAUGCAUGGUUUUAAGAAGUGGUAUGCAUGUUAAGUGGGUUAGGAAGGCUUAGGGAGGUGUGUUGGUGCAUGAUCUGGGUUCUGGAUGAACUCAGGUUCGGCCGUCGAAAGGAGUUUCGGCCGCCGAACCCCUUAAGGAGGUAGUUUCGGCUGCCUAACCUUGCUUCCGGAAGUUGGACUUUCGGAUCUGUCAUGCACAUUCGGCCGCCGAAGGUGCCGCCGAACCUACCCGAGUUUCGUCUCUGGAGGAGACUUUCGGCUGCCGAAAGUGCCGCCGAAGGUGUUCUGUUUUGCCUUCCUUUGCAUGUUUUUCCAUGCAUGCUUAUGAGGUUUUAAAGGGGUUUAAAAGAGAUGUUUCAGAGUUAUGUUAGAGUUGUUUGGCACCUCAUGUGAGUCUACCUGUGUAGGAUCGGACCUGAGGAGAGGUGUUUAGCUCCAGUGUUAGAGAUAGCCCAGAGUUAGCUGAGCAGAGGCUGCAGGUGAGUAGAACUAACUAUGCAUGUUUUAAAGUUAAUGUUUAAAGAUAAUGACAGUAUGAGCAUGAGACACGCAUCAUGGAUGCCAUGUAAUACCAGGUUGUAUUGCAUUAGAGAUCACGAGAAUGUUGCAUUGCAUUGCAUUAUUAUUGUUGAUGGGGAUGGACCAAGGCGACUCCAGUAGCCCGCGACCUGUUAUGCCUAGAUAAGACCUUUGAGAGCUUCGCAGUAGAAGCCGGGCACUAGAGCAUGUAGUGCUUUUGAGAGCUCCUCAGGGAGCCGGGCACCGACAGAGGGAGUUCUGGGGUCAUGUCUAAUCCGAGAUGUGAUAUGUUUGUGCUGUGAUGCAUUUCACGAGAGCAUAUAAAUGAAUGAAUGAACUGUUUUUAUAGUUUCUACUCACUGGGCUUUAUAGCUCACCCCAUUCCCCUAACCCCAGUGUUGCAGGGCCAAAGUGUGAUCAGAGUGAGCUAUUAGAAGGCAAAGAUGAUAAAGUAAGGAGAAAUGAAGAAGUUAUGUAACAGCAUAGUAUGGCUUGAUAUGUAGGCAUGUAUAAGUAUGUGAAGAGUUGGUGUAUAUGUAUUAGAGGAGUUUGAUGUAUAUGUAUAUGAGAGUUGGAUGUUAUGAUAAGUUAUAUAUGUACAUGUAAUGGUAAUAGUUCAAGAGAUGUUAUGUUAUGUUAUGUAUGCUUGUAUAGUAUAGUAGUGGACAUGAUGUAUAUAAAGGAUAUGAUAUGAUGAUGUAUGUACAGAGUUAAUGAAAAGCUAGAGGAUGGAAAGUAUAGUAUGUCAUGUGAUGUCUAGAGAUGUGCUUUGCCCAGUGUGUGCUGAAUCCCUAGUGUCUGCAUGUGUCCUGUUUUCCGUUUCGUAAUGAGAACUGUGUCAAGCUAGGCUUAACAUCUGAUGUGUUUCUCAAACUCCAGUGAUCAGGGAAGAAAGGGUAAAUCCCUUGACCCAGAACAGACAUCAAGACUAACCUGUGAUAUGCUGACCCUGAGAGAGUGGGUUCUAUGUUUUCAGACAUAGUG
rnacentral:lncRNA from 1 species